rnacentral:rRNA from 1 species
AGUUUGAUCCUGGCUCAGGACGAACGCUAGCUACAGGCUUAACACAUGCAAGUCGAGGGGCAGCAUGGUCUUAGCUUGCUAAGGCCGAUGGCGACCGGCGCACGGGUGAGUAACACGUAUCCAACCUGCCGUCUACUCUUGGACAGCCUUCUGAAAGGAAGAUUAAUACAAGAUGGCAUCAUGAGUCCGCAUGUUCACAUGAUUAAAGGUAUUCCGGUAGACGAUGGGGAUGCGUUCCAUUAGAUAGUAGGCGGGGUAACGGCCCACCUAGUCUUCGAUGGAUAGGGGUUCUGAGAGGAAGGUCCCCCACAUUGGAACUGAGACACGGUCCAAACUCCUACGGGAGGCAGCAGUGAGGAAUAUUGGUCAAUGGGCGAGAGCCUGAACCAGCCAAGUAGCGUGAAGGAUGACUGCCCUAUGGGUUGUAAACUUCUUUUAUAAAGGAAUAAAGUCGGGUAUGCAUACCCGUUUGCAUGUACUUUAUGAAUAAGGAUCGGCUAACUCCGUGCCAGCAGCCGCGGUAAUACGGAGGAUCCGAGCGUUAUCCGGAUUUAUUGGGUUUAAAGGGAGCGUAGAUGGAUGUUUAAGUCAGUUGUGAAAGUUUGCGGCUCAACCGUAAAAUUGCAGUUGAUACUGGAUAUCUUGAGUGCAGUUGAGGCAGGCGGAAUUCGUGGUGUAGCGGUGAAAUGCUUAGAUAUCACGAAGAACUCCGAUUGCGAAGGCAGCCUGCUAAGCUGCAACUGACAUUGAGGCUCGAAAGUGUGGGUAUCAAACAGGAUUAGAUACCCUGGUAGUCCACACGGUAAACGAUGAAUACUCGCUGUUUGCGAUAUACAGCAAGCGGCCAAGCGAAAGCGUUAAGUAUUCCACCUGGGGAGUACGCCGGCAACGGUGAAACUCAAAGGAAUUGACGGGGGCCCGCACAAGCGGAGGAACAUGUGGUUUAAUUCGAUGAUACGCGAGGAACCUUACCCGGGCUUAAAUUGCAGAUGAAUUACGGUGAAAGCCGUAAGCCGCAAGGCAUCUGUGAAGGUGCUGCAUGGUUGUCGUCAGCUCGUGCCGUGAGGUGUCGGCUUAAGUGCCAUAACGAGCGCAACCCUUGUUGUCAGUUACUAACAGGUUCUGCUGAGGACUCUGACAAGACUGCCAUCGUAAGAUGUGAGGAAGGUGGGGAUGACGUCAAAUCAGCACGGCCCUUACGUCCGGGGCUACACACGUGUUACAAUGGGGGGUACAGAGGGCCGCUACCACGCGAGUGGAUGCCAAUCCCAAAAACCUCUCUCAGUUCGGACUGGAGUCUGCAACCCGACUCCACGAAGCUGGAUUCGCUAGUAAUCGCGCAUCAGCCACGGCGCGGUGAAUACGUUCCCGGGCCUUGUACACACCGCCCGUCAAGCCAUGGGAGCCGGGGGUACCUGAAGUGCGUAACCGCGAGGAGCGCCCUAGGGUAAAACUGGUNACUGGGGCUAAGUCGUAACAAGGUAUCC